GCUUGUAUCCCUGUCAUCUUGGCUGUGGUCUUGUUAGAUCUCACAAGCUAAGCAGGGUCUAGCUAGGUAAAUACAAGGGUGAGAAACACCCAAGGAAUGCCUAUGGGCUGCAGGAA
ensembl:rRNA 5S_rRNA 5S ribosomal RNA